GAUGAACGCUGGCGGCGUGCUUAACACAUGUAAGUCGAACGAAGCACUUUAUUUGAUUUCCUUCGGGACUGAUUAUUUUGUGACUGAGUGGCGGACGGGUGAGUAACGCGUGGGUAACCUGCCUUGUACAGGGGGAUAACAGUUGGAAACGGCUGCUAAUACCGCAUAAGCGCACAGCAUCGCAUGAUGCAGUGUGAAAAACUCCGGUGGUAUAAGAUGGACCCGCGUUGGAUUAGCUAGUUGGUGAGGUAACGGCCCACCAAGGCGACGAUCCAUAGCCGACCUGGGAGGGUGACCGGCCACAUUGGGACUGAGACACGGCCCAAACUCCUACGGGAGGCAGCAGUGGGGAAUAUUGCACAAUGGGCGAAAGCCUGAUGCAGCGACGCCGCGUGAGCGAAGAAGUAUUUCGGUAUGUAAAGCUCUAUCAGCAGGGAAGAUAAUGACGGUACCUGACUAAGAAGCACCGGCUAAAUACGUG
rnacentral:rRNA from 1 species